CCUAGAGAAUGCUAUGAUUUGAAUGUUCCCACUGAAACUACCAUUGUAAUUUAAUCCUCAUGGCAUAGCCACACCAAUGAAAGCUGCCCUUUCUACCCUUCUACGCCCAUCUCUUUGGCAUUUUGGGACAGGUGGAUAAGCCUCGUCUGUUGUGACUCCUGGAGCUAGGUCCUGCUGUCUUGGUAGCAGUCCAUCUCCGAGGACUCCUGGGGAGAGGAUCCAAGCGCAGCCUGAUACCCAGUGUGCAUCCGACAAAUGUCAUAACAACAGCUGCCAUUCUGUGGGAAGACAUGUACAUUUUACACAUGCACUUUAAUGCAAGAAGCCUCGAAGAGAAGGCUCCUAAGACAAAUAGGAAUUUAGUUGGCCCAAACAAAACAAACCAAAAAUUCGUGUGGGAUUUCUGGAGUCCUG